UACAGAGGGUGCUAGCGUUGUUCGGAAUUACUGGGCGUAAAGAGCUCGUAGGCGGUUCGUCGCGUCGGCUGUGAAAUCCCGAGGCUCAACCUCGGGUCUGCAGUCGAUACGAGCAAACUAGAGUGUUGCAGGGGAGACUGGAAUUCCUGGUGUAGCGGUGAAAUGCGUAGAUAUCUGGAGGAACACCGGUGGCGAAGGCGGCAUCCUGGACCGGUAUUGACGCUGAGGCGCGAAAGCCAGGGGAGCAAAGCGGG
rnacentral:rRNA from 1 species